AUACUUACCUUGCAGGAGAGAUACCAUGAUCACAAAGGUGGCUUUCCCAGGGGGAGGCUUAUCCUUUGUACUCCGGAUGUGCUGACUCCUGCAAUUUCUCCAAAGGUGGGACACUUGACUGCAUAAUUUGUGGUAAUGAGGGACUGUGAAGAAAAAAAAAAGCCUGAC